GUCCCGCGUGGUCGAGGGCACGUCUCCGCCCUCCCGGGACCGGCGGGGCGGCGCUUCGGCCGGUGCCUCCGCGGGUCCCGCCGCGAUCGGGGCA
rnacentral:tRNA from 1 species